rnacentral:tRNA from 1 species
GGGGGCGAAUGACAAGAUUCGAACCUGCAACCUUUGGAUCCACAGACCAACGCUCUACCCUUGAGCUACAAUCGCC